UUGUGAUCACUGGAAAUUUAAUGCUUAUGGUUGACGUUUCUCAAGUUCCUACCAAGCAUCAGCAUCGGGCGAUUCUAACCUGAGACCAGCAGCGCCAUCUUCGAGGCAAAUUCAUACGCGCGAUAUACACAGGCAAUGAUAACGCGUUUACAUGACACUGCAAAAGGAGAUGCCAUUGUCGAAGACUGAUUGGAUCACUGUGGUCUCCAUGCAGAAUGCACUGUCCUCGUACAUGGUCGUGAUUCUCUGCUGCUGGGCGCGACUUUCACUUUGGGAUCUGGAAAACGUCAGCCAUUUCAGGUGAGUCAAGGUUGUGUAAGGAGGGUCUCUGAAUUAUUUGGUCCUGGAAGCUGGAAAUGACUUCAGGAUCUGGACUAUGUCAAAUUGACUCACCUGACAGGUGGCGCACGUGGUCGUUGCGUCCUGGCCGCUUGCUUCCUGAGG